CAUUUGAAUUCUAGAAAUAUUUGGGACUCAGUACCUCAAAUGCAGAAAACUUGUGCUGCAGGAGAACAGUUUUGGCUUAAAAGCAUUUUCAGUCUACAGUCAGAUUUCUCGAACUAUAGCAUUCUGAUAUCAGAUUUCCUAUAAAUCAGGGAACAUAUACACAAAACAGAACUGAACACGUGCUGUUAAACAUCUUUUUCAACUGAAAACCAAGUCCUGAGAUAUCUGAAAAACAUCUUGGUUUCAACAGGGUCUGCUCAAACUCUUUGUCAGUCUCUCACCUGCAAUGAUACUAGUGCUGAUUGGAGGGAGCAUGCUCAUCAGCAUGGAAGUUGCAGAACUAAUUGUUAAGCUUUCUGCAGGUGCAUUACUGAGAAGUACUUACUGGCUACAUAAAUGACUGUUAACUACUAGUGUAUUUCCUAAGCUCUAUUUGCUCCUUAGUAUAAACGGAUAACUCUGUAUCAGCUAAGAAUUGGAAGAAGAAAAUGAGAAGAGUUAAUAAGCAGGAGAGAGAAUGACUUUUUAAACAGGGCACCACUCAGAAAGGCCUGGCCAUUGCUGGAGGAGCUCAGUCAUGGCCUGUGUGAGGACAUGUGCAGAGGCAGCGGUCACCCUCCUGCUCUCUGGAAGUCACUGCACGGAAAGCACUCGGAGACCCUCAUGGUCAGAAAAAUGGCAAGAGAAGUCAAAACUAACAUCCAAGAAAUGCUAAUAAAGCAGAAGAAACCAAAGCAAACAGAAGCUAGAGGGCACAGAUCUCAUGAUUGCUACCCUGAAAAACCUGCUGUGUGCCAGAUCCACAGGUGUGUGAGGCUGAACGGUCAUCCUUCUGGUGGAAUGCAAAUGUGAACUACUCCAAAAGGUUUUCUAUUACUGCAUCUCUUGAUGUCUGUAUUGGAAAGUUGAGCUGCCAUGAAGAUCUCCAUGAGUUGUUAAAUCCACUGGAGUCAUGCUGGAGGGUUAUUGCUUAUUGUUUUUUGAAGGAGGUAGAACCAGCUCCAAACACUGUGCAGCACUGAAUGUGAACUAAUAUUUGGGACAGCAAGGAAAUCCAAUGUGUGUCUGAAUUGAGAUUCUUUCAUAGGCCUUCUGAAAGCAAUUCUGAGCAUGUUUUGAGCUGCUUUCUCUCUGACUCUGUAAA